ensembl:lncRNA
UUCUGUGUAUGCUUCACUGGUGUACUGAAACUUAGGUUGUGGAGCAGCUGAAAUAAUAGAAUCUCAUUUUCUGUUUUGAUGCAUGGCAAUUUAUGGCAACGUGAGAAACACCCAGUUGUACCCUAUGGUGCACUUUAAUUGGAAAAACUGUAGGGGAUGCUGUGAUAUAUUAAAUGUCUUGGAAAAUCAGCAGUUAGUUCUGAGUACAAAUUCGUGGUCACUUUUCUCAGGAAAAUAAUGCAUAACAUACAGUGCAUAACUCCAUAACACUCCUCUGGAGCUUAAAGCAUAUCCCUGCAGCUUUCUGCAAUCACCUUUCCCAGCUCUCUGCUUACCUCUGUUCACUUAAACCCAUUUCUUGGAAUUUUGUCUUUUCAUAGCUUCAUCUCCCCUCCUGGGCUGCAGGAAUAGUAACAGCUCUUUACCUCUGUUAGAAGCAUGCUUUUGUCUUUUUGUCUUCUCCUUUAACUGUUUUGCCAAAGCAAAACUGUGGAAGGGGACCUCAGUGCUUUAAGUAUACGGUGAGAAUGCAGAGAUUACAAGUUGGAAAACCAGAAAUGCAAACGACCAUCAGGAUGGAUUGCAGUCCCUGAAAUUUCAGGUCACAUUCUUUCCGUGAUGCAAUUUAAUGCACUUCAUCUGUGGGAAAUGCUGUUGAUGUCAAAGCAAAAAAUGACAUAUCCUUACUGUAAACGUCAUCUCUCUUCUGAAACCUCCUCCUGAAUCCUGCUCUGUUCUGUCUGACGUCCCCUGUUGUGUGAGGACCACGAGGAGCUGCAGCGCAGAGAGGUUGCACACAAUGCGACUGUAUCGGUGACAGGCUGAUGGGAUCAUGACUCAGUGCUGGAGAAAAGUCAGCUAAGUGGGUUGUGGCUCAAAAUAGUUGCCUGUGGCAGAAAGAAAACGUGCAAAAUUAGUUGAAAAUAAAGAUGAUACAAAUGCCACAGAGCCUGUUAGGUUUCUGUCCAAGUAUGUGAAUUGUUGCACUCAAACCCAGCAGGGUUGUGCUGGUUCUGAGUGUCACUCAGGAUCUGCCCUGAGUGUUUUUUUGCAGGUGAUGGAAGCAAGCAGUGAUUUAAAAUGUGCUUGGUAGGCUCUUAUUGGUUGGGUCUUAUUUUAGAUCACAGCUUUCCUCAGUACUGCACCAUUACUUCAGCUUUCUUUUUGUUUCCUUUGAGUCCAAAAAUCCUCUGUUUUGCUCUUCUGUAGUGGUUGGCUCUUAGGUCAGGGAGUGGAAGGAAAUUGCUUUGGUAAGUAAAAAUAGAAGGCUGUUCUAGGAGGCG